UACAGAGGUCUCAAGCGUUGUUCGGAUUCAUUGGGCGUAAAGGGUGCGUAGGCGGCAAAGUAAGUCGGAUGUGAAAUCCCGAGGCUUAACCCCGGAACUGCAUUUGAUACUGCAUUGCUGGAGUGCUGUAAGGGAGAUUGGAAUUUACGGUGUAGCAGUGAAAUGCGUAGAUAUCGUAAGGAAGACCAGUGGCGAAGGCGAGUCUCUGGACAGCUACUGACGCUGAGGCACGAAGGCCAGGGGAGCAAACGGG
rnacentral:rRNA from 1 species